GCGGUAAAUUGUUCCUGAGCAUUACAACCUGUUUAACUUGGUAACACGUGAAAACAGUCUAAAUUGUCCAGUUGCGGAGGAAGGCUGAAGAGAUGUUUCCCAGAUCUCCUCAGUUACGUCAUGUGGUGUUCGUUGCGGCCUGUUUGGUUGGUAUGUCUUUGCUGGUGAUCCUGUGGCAUUUCGAUCUCACAGAUAAAACUCGCAGUAAUAGAAGUGACGCGUAUCCACUCUCCAUUCACAAGAAAACCAUAGAAGAACACGCAUCCCAGAAGCAUAACAAUCUCAACAACAAUGCAUCAAUAAAGU